GGAGGAGUGGCAGAGUGGUCGAAUGCAUCGGUCUUGAAAACCGACGUGGGGGUAAAACUCCACCGUGGGUUCGAAUCCCACCUCCUCCGCCA
rnacentral:tRNA from 1 species